AUAAAACUCAUGUGCAGCUUGUUCUGAAAGAAAUUCCAUAUCACAUAUGGGCUUAUAAUCUAAAUUAUCUUCACAGAUUGUAGCCACUGGAUCUUUCAUUCUCAAUCUAAAAGAGGGAAAUUUUGAAUUGUUGCAGACAUAGGAACCAAAAAUGAAAAGAAAAAAAAGAAAACAAACAGCAUGCCAAAUAAUCCUGCUUACUUUAUGGGAUCAAGUUCAUUCCUUCACAGUAACCUUGCCAAUAUAUUCACACUAACCAAAGCACCACCAUCGAGUCAAGUAAGAAAUAGCAUGCUAAGAGCCGUGAGUGGCUUCCUAGACUUCCUCC
rnacentral:lncRNA from 1 species